GAUGAACGCUGGCGGCGUGCCUAAUACAUGCAAGUCGAGCGAAGCCUUCGGGCUUAGUGGCGCACGGGUGCGUAACACGUGGGAAUCUGCCCUUAGGUACGGAAUAACUCAGGGAAACUUGAGCUAAUACCGUAUGAUGUCUUCGGACCAAAGAUUUAUCGCCUAAGGAUGAGCCCGCGUCGGAUUAGCUAGUUGGUGGGGUAAAGGCCUACCAAGGCGACGAUCCGUAGCUGGUCUGAGAGGAUGAUCAGCCACACUGGGACUGAGACACGGCCCAGACUCCUACGGGAGGCAGCAGUGGGGAAUAUUGGACAAUGGGCGAAAGCCUGAUCCAGCAAUGCCGCGUGAGUGAAGAAGGCCUUCGGGUUGUAAAGCUCUUUUACCCGGGAAGAUAAUGACUGUACCGGGAGAAUAAGCCUCGGCUAACUCCGUGCCAGCCGCCGCAGUAA
rnacentral:rRNA from 1 species